GACGUAGGGCGCGAGCGUUGUCCGGAUUUAUUGGGCGUAAAGAGCGUGUAGGCGGCCAGAUAGGUCAGCUGUGAAAACUCGAGGCUCAACCUCGAGAUGUCGGCUGAAACCAUCUGGCUAGAGUCCGGAAGAGGAGAAUGGAAUUCCCGGUGUAGCGGUGAAAUGCGCAGAUAUCCGGAGGAACACCAGUGGCGAAAGCGGCCACCUGGACUGCACCUGACGCUGACACGCGAAAGCUAGGGGAGCGAACGGG
rnacentral:rRNA from 1 species